GCGGCGGACGGGUGAGUAACGCGUGGGUAACCUACCCCAAAGUCCGGGAUAACAGCGGGAAACCGCUGCUAAUACCGGAUGUCUUUACCUUGGGGCAUCUUGAGGUAAAGAAAGGCAACGCUUUGGGAUGGGCCCGCGUCCCAUUAGCUAGUUGGUGAGGUAACGGCUCACCAAGGCGACGAUGGGUAGCCGGCCUGAGAGGGUGGACGGCCACACUGGGACUGAGACACGGCCCAGACUCCUACGGGAGGCAGCAGUAGGGAAUAUUGCGCAAUGGACGGAAGUCUGACGCAGCGACGCCGCGUGAGCGAUGAAGGUCUUCGGAUCGUAAAGCUCUGUCCUUGGGGAAGAAGGCGAAAGCUUGACGGUACCCAAGAAGAAAGCCCCGGCUAACUACGUGCCAGCAGCCGCGGUAAUACGUAGGGGGCGAGCGUUGUCCGGAAUUACUGGGCGUAAAGGGUGCGUAGGCGGCCCUUUAAGUCGGAUGUGAAAGCCCGCG
rnacentral:rRNA from 1 species